UACAGAGGUCCCAAGCGUUGUUCGGAUUCACUGGGCGUAAAGGGUGCGUAGGUGGUGAGGUAAGUCGGAUGUGAAAUCUCCGAGCUCAACUCGGAAAUGGCAUUGGGAACUACCUUGCUCGAGGGUUGGAGGGGGGACUGGAAUGCUUGGUGUAGCAGUGAAAUGCGUAGAUAUCAAGCGGAACACCAGUGGCGAAGGCGAGUCCCUGGACAACUCCUGACACUGAGGCACGAAAGCUAGGGGAGCAAACAGG
rnacentral:rRNA from 1 species